rnacentral:lncRNA from 1 species
CCCCACAUCCUACCCUUCCUCCAGCCCUGCCCCAGGUCCCACCCCCUGCGGCCUCCCCAGUUUGGAGGAGAGCCUAGGGAUGCUGGAGCAAGAGGGAAUCUCAGCCUAUACCCUCCCACUCCACAGGCAAAAGAUGCCGGUGCAAAUUCAACCAACAGCAGAGGUGAGUGGUCCCUCUGGACCUCCCUCGCUCCUCCCGCAGUGGAGAGGCGGUGGGGGCGAGGCGGCAAAUGCACCCAUUCUGCAGUCGAACACGUAUUAAGCGCUUAGUGUGUGUUAAACCCUAAGCCAGGCUCCUGGGUCGGAGCGAUGGUCAAGCUCCCUCUCUGCCUGGCUCAGCGCCCAGCCAGUGGGGGCGCUGGGCUCCCACCAGCCCCGCAGAUGGAAACUCAAGCGUGGUGAGGCGAAGCUGGGCAGAAGCAGCCGCGCUGAAAUGAGAUCACCUCACAGGGCGGCCCAGUUUAGCUCCAGUCCGGAUCCUCGCGCAGGAUUCCUCUCGAAAUAAACCUUUAAAGCACAGGCAACGUAGGCAUGCCUUCUGCGUGCUAAGACGAUCACAGAUGCCUUCCCACCGACCCUCUAGCAUGGUUGAGUGCGCACCACGAGCCAGGCGCCGUUUUCUAUUAUGUAUCCCUUACCCCACCCGGGUGAGGUGCGCUCCAUCAUCCAUCCCGUUUGUGCAUAUGAGGAAACUGAGGCACGGGGAGGUAAGGUGACUUAGGGUCACUCACUGGACCCAAGUCCCAAAUCUCCCAAGACCCUGUGACCGUCCCUCUCCCCAACAAUGUCAAGUGCCUUCCCCAACACCCCGGAGGCCUCCACCGCGCAGGCUGGGAGCACCUCCUGCCGCACCCUGAAACAGCAGCGGGAAGCUUCUGUUUCUGACGGACCGCGUCUAUGUCAAGUCCACGGUGGGGGUCUGGAAAUAAGGCCUGCACUGGGGCUUCUCAGAAGCGGCUACCUCUCCUGGUCCAUCCGAAUUCCUCUGUCUGUUCCUUCCCAGAACUGGGGAACCCGACGAAGAGGAGGGAACUUUCCGCAGCUCCAUCCGCCGUCUGUCCACCCGCAGGCGGUAGAACCUCCACCUGGCUCCAGGAAACUCAGCCAGAGCCCCCUUGGCACCUGACACCUCUCCCCACCCAGCUGCUCGCCUGUGACCACCUCCAGCGUCCCCUGCAUCAGCCCUGCUUCUCGGACACCCCUUGCUGCUCAGACCUCCAAUAAAACUCGGUUUUCCUUCUUG